ensembl:snRNA
AAAAAGGGCUUCUGCCAUGUUUGGCACAGAAGAGGUGGGGUCUCCACUUCUUUUGCGGAAUCGCCAUCAAGAGAUUUCGGAAGCAUAAUUUUUACUUCUGGGGCUGCUAAUGAUCACAUGUCUUGGCGCCCCA